ensembl:lncRNA
UCAGGACUGACUGGGCCACUCCAGAAGGUCAGGACUCUGACUGGGCCACUCCAGAAGGUCAGGACUGACUGGGCCACUCCAGAAGGUCAGGACUGACUGGGCCACUCCAGAAUGUCAGGACUGACUGGGCCACUCCAGAAGGUCAGGACUGACAGGGCCACUCCAGAAGGUCAGGACUCUGACUGGGCCACUCCAGAAGGUCAGGACUGACUGGGCCACUCCAGAAAGUCAGGACUCUGACUGGGCCACUCCAGAAGGCCAGGACUGACUGGGCCACUCCAGAAGGUCAGGACUCUGACUGGGCCACUCCAGAAGGUCAGGACUCUGACUGGGCCACUCCAGAAGGUCAGGACUCUGACUGGGCCACUCCAGAAGGUCAGGACUGACUGGGCCACUCCAGAAGGUCAGGACUGACUGGGCCACUCCAGAAGGUCAGGACUCUGACUGGGCCACUCCAG